rnacentral:rRNA from 1 species
GACGAACGCUGGCGGCGUGCUUAACACAUGCAAGUCGAACGAAGUGGCGAACGGGUGAGUAACGCGUAAUCAACCUGCCCUUCAGAGGGGGACAACAGUUGGAAACGACUGCUAAUACCGCAUACUGAAGGAGGGGCUUGGGUCUGAUUAGGUAGUUGGAGGGGUAACGGCCCACCAAGGCGAUGAUCAGUAGCCGGUCUGGAGGGAUGAACGGCCAAAUUGGGACUGAGACACGGCCCAGACUCCUACGGGAGGCAGCAGGUGGGAAUCUUCCGCAAUGGAAGAAAGUCUGACGGAGCAACGGCGCGUGAGUGAUGGCGGCCUUCGGGUUGGAAAGCUCUGUUAAUCGGGACGCGGUACCGGAAUAGAAAGCCACGGCUAACUACGUGCCAGCAGCCGCGGUAAUAC